GCAGCAGAGAAGAUUAGCUUGACUUCUGCACAAAGAUCACACACAAAUUCGUGAAGCUUCCCAUAUUAAA
rnacentral:snRNA from 1 species